CGGAUUGGAUUACGUGCGGCCCACGCGAUCUCUCGGCCCAUCAAGCACUCCACCUCUCACCACCGCAAGUCCGUAACCAACUGGAGCUCCUCCUCGUCGUCGUCAUCGUCCUCCUCUCCGGCUCGAUCUCCCACCGCGGCGGCGACUCCAGAUCGGCGGCGAAGCCCAGGAUCUCCGGCGAGGGCAGGAGAAUGUCGAGAUAAAGGUGGAGUAGUCGAGUAUCGCGUAAAAGAAAGAGAAAUCUCUCCCCGUGUCGUUGUCUCCUCCGCUCCUCGCGCCGCCGCCAAGACGAGUCGCGGGGGAGGGGCGGCGAUCGAGCAGAGCAGGGGAGGGGAGGGGAUCCUGAUCUGGAAGGAGCUCUUCUCCUCCUCCUUAAUUUGA
rnacentral:lncRNA from 1 species